rnacentral:rRNA from 1 species
UACAGAGGGUGCAAGCGUUAAUCGGAAUUACUGGGCGUAAAGCGCGCGUAGGUGGUUUGUUAAGUUGAAUGUGAGAUCCCCGGGCUCAACCUGGGAACUGCAUGCAAAACUGGCAAGCUAGAGUAUGGUAGAGGGUGGUGGAAUUUCCUGUGUAGCGGUGAAAUGCGUAGAUAUAGGAAGGAACACCAGUGGCGAAGGCGACCACCUGGACUGAUACUGACACUGAGGUGCGAAAGCGUGGGGAGCAAACAGG